GACAGAGGAUGCAAGCGUUAUCCGGAAUGAUUGGGCGUAAAGCGUCUGUAGGUGGCUUUUUAAGUUCGCCGUCAAAUCCCAGGGCUCAACCCUGGACAGGUGGUGGAAACUACCAAGCUAGAGUACGGUAGGGGCAGAGGGAAUUUCCGGUGGAGCGAUGAAAUGCGUAGAGAUCGGAAGGAGCACCCAAGGCGAAAGCACUCUGCUGGGCCGACACUGACACUGAGAGACGAAAGCUAGGGGAGCAAAUGGG
rnacentral:rRNA from 1 species